GACGAACGCUGGCGGCGUGCUUAACACAUGCAAGUCGAACGGAAAGGCCCUGCUUUUGUGGGGUGCUCGAGUGGCGAACGGGUGAGUAACACGUGAGUAACCUGCCCUUGACUUUGGGAUAACUUCAGGAAACUGGGGCUAAUACCGGAUAGGAGCUCCUGCUGCAUGGUGGGGGUUGGAAAGUUUCGGCGGUUGGGGAUGGACUCGCGGCUUAUCAGCUUGUUGGUGGGGUAGUGGCUUACCAAGGCUUUGACGGGUAGCCGGCCUGAGAGGGUGACCGGCCACAUUGGGACUGAGAUACGGCCCAGACUCCUACGGGAGGCAGCAGUGGGGAAUAUUGCACAAUGGGCGGAAGCCUGAUGCAGCAACGCCGCGUGCGGGAUGACGGCAUGCGGGUUGUAAACCGCUUUCGCCUGUGACGAAGCGUGAGUGACGGUAAUGGGUAAAGAAGCACCGGCUAACUACGUG
rnacentral:rRNA from 1 species